AUGCCACACGACCUACCGAACCUUAGCAGGCUCCUCGCAGGAACCAGAGUGUUUCACCAUCUCGUGUGUCUUGCUGCAUUUUCUCCCUGUGUAUUUUCCUGGGGCGAUGUAAUUAGAACACUGACUAGAGAACGAGAAAGGAAGAAUAAUCGAGUUGUCUGCCAUACACCAAUGUCAGAGAAUGCUGGUUCCUUGAAGAGGCAAAUGCACGGAUGGAUAGAUCUGCCAUUCUUAAUACUAGCUGCAUUCCCUCGCCUAGUAAAUCAUAGAUCAUUGCAUUUGCUGGCCCUUGGAGUGAAUACUUGGCACAGUGUUUUGGAACCAGAACACCCUUAAAAAUAAUCUACUCCAAUGGGUGGCAUCCAAGAGCCCCUUAAGGCUGAGGGUCUUCACAUGACCUUUUAAUAUCUCUGAGCUUAUAUGUGUGGUAAGUUGGCAUGGACUCACUAAAACAUUCACUUCUUUGUCUUUGACUAAAACUUUAGUAAUUUAAUAUGUUAAAACUGUGGACAUCUAAUGCUAAGUUCUGGCUAGGAGCUAUGUCUUCCAUUGAUAAAAAAUGAAAAUGAAAUCACUCUGAUCUAAAAAAAAUCCCACUUGGAGCCCCUGGCAUAGUCCUGCUUCCUAGACCAGAGUUUAGCUCUACCACACCAAACUGUCAUUCUCUUGACCAGGUCAGUGAUGAAUUUUGUUGAAUAAUUAGUUUCCAAUCAGGCAGCUUGAAUUUCAAUACUUUUUUUUUUUCAAAUUUCAUUUUAAAGGAAACUUUAAGCUAGUGUAAAGUGAAAGCCAGAUCACUUAGCAUCAAAAUGGAAAUACUGUGUCUAAAUGCAGAACACUAAAUACUGUGGAAACAAAGCACUGUAUCCCAACUCCAGCUAACUACAGUUGCUUACUGGGGAUCUUACCCUGAUGCCUAGUCACUCGUCAAAAGAAGGGUGGGGAGAGGAGGCCAUAUUGAAAUGCUGUUAAGGAAAAAGUGGUUCUAACUGAGGCUUUCUCUAGACUUUUUAUGGAAAUGCAAUAGAAAAGGGAAUACUUUCCUCACAAAAACUAUUUCAUGUUCCUGAUGCCUUUACCCCCAAGGAAGAAAUACCAGGUUGCAGAGGUGGAAAAAGAAGUCAGAAAUGGAGCCUCUGGCACCAUCCACUGUCAUCCCCUUUCCAGUCUGACCAAAGACUCACUCUCUUUUCCUCUUGGAUGAACCAUCUCUACAUUUUCUUCUCCAGAGCCCACUGAUCCUUUUUUCUCAUUUGUUCUCCCACCCCUUUCAGGUCCCUGUGUCUACUUUGCUAGGUCUCAAGCCAUGGGGUUCCUAGCAGGCUGGAGAUAGGGCUUUGGGUCUUGAAGACAGAAAAAUAAAGAGUGGUGGAGGCAGAGAGCUGGUGGUGGU
rnacentral:lncRNA from 1 species